UACGAGGGGUGCAAGCGUUGCUCGGAAUUAUUGGGCGUAAGGGUAGGUAGGUGGUCUCAUUUGUCAGGGGUGAAAGCCUUGGGCUUAACUCAAGAAGUGCCCCUGAAACGGUGAGACUCGAGUACUGGAGAGGGUCGUGGAAUUCCCGGUGUAGCGGUGAAAUGCGUAGAGAUCGGGAGGAACACCAGAGGCGAAGGCGGCGACCUGGACAGUUACUGACACUCAACUACGAAAGCGUGGGGAGCAAACAGGAU
rnacentral:rRNA from 1 species